rnacentral:rRNA from 1 species
AGGAAUAUUGGUCAAUGGGCGCAAGCCUGAACCAGCCAAGUAGCGUGAGGGAAGACUGCCCUAUGGGUUGUAAACCUCUUUUGUGCGGGGAUAAAGUGUGGGACGUGUCCCAUAUUGCAGGUACCGCACGAAUAAGGACCGGCUAAUUCCGUGCCAGCAGCCGCGGUAAUACGGAAGGUCCGGGCGUUAUCCGGAUUUAUUGGGUUUAAAGGGAGCGCAGGCCGUCCUUUAAGCGUGCUGUGAAAUGCCGCGGCUCAACCGUGGCACUGCAGCGCGAACUGGAGGACUUGAGUACGCACGAGGUAGGCGGAAUUCGUGGUGUAGCGGUGAAAUGCUUAGAUAUCACGAAGAACUCCGAUUGCGAAGGCAGCUUACCGGAGCGCAACUGACGCUGAGGCUCGAAAGCGCGGGUAUCGAACAGGAUUAGAUACCCUGGUAGUCCGCGCGGUAAACGAUGGAUGCCCGCCGUUGGGUUUUAGAAUUCAGCGGCCAAGCGAAAGCGUUAAGCAUCCCACCUGGGGAGUACGCCGGCAACGGUGAAACUCAAAGGAAUUGACGGGGGCCCGCACAAGCGGAGGAACAUGUGGUUUAAUUCGAUGAUACGCGAGGAACCUUACCCGGGCUUGAAUUGCAGGAGAACGAUCCAGAGAUGGUGAGGCCCUUCGGGGCUCCUGUGAAGGUGCUGCAUGGUUGUCGUCAGCUCGUGCCGUGAGGUGUCGGCUCAAGUGCCAUAACGAGCGCAACCCCUGUCCAUAGUUGCCAUCAGGUCGUGCUGGGCACUCUGUGGAGACUGCCGCCGUAAGGUGUGAGGAAGGUGGGGAUGACGUCAAAUCAGCACGGCCCUUACGUCCGGGGCUACACACGUGUUACAAUGGGGCAUACAGCGAGUUGGAUGUGCGCAAGUACGUCCGGAUCAAUAAAGUGCCUCUCAGUUCGGACUGGGGUCUGCAACCCGACCCCACGAAGCUGGAUUCGCUAGUAAUCGCGCAUCAGCCACGGCGCGGUGAAUACGUUCCCG